ACACACCACACACCACUGUGAACGUAACACACCACACUGUGAACGUAACACACCACACCACACCGUGAACGUAACACACCACACCACACACACACACCACAACAUGAACGUACCACACCACAACACACCACAACAUGAACGUAACACACCACAACAUGAACAUACCACACCACACUGUGAACGUAACACACCACACCACACUGUGAACGUACCACACCACACCAUGAACACACCACAACAUGAACGUAACACACCACACCACACCGUGAAGGUAACACACCACAACAUGAACGUAACACACCACACCGUGAAGGUAACACACCACACCACACCGUCAUGUGACGUCUAUUAUAGUAAAAUCACAAUCCAGGUCUGGCUAUGAUGAGUCUUGAUCUUGGCUUCAACUUUUUUUUUACCAGUAGUAAAGAGCAACGAACGCUCAAUCAGCCCUCUAACCUCACAAAUAUCAUUUAUGGAGGUCAAAGGUUACCACAUUCCAAUUCUCUACCCUUCUCCCUGAGGUGUGCACUUGUACACUUCCCUUUAUGGAUUUAAAAUUAUUGGACUGGUGUCAGAAAUAUGAUGGAAAUGGGAACUCCCCUCCAGUCAUACUUGUACCGAUCCAAUGGUUUUGAGUUCUGGAGAAGGGUGGAACAUCGGAACGCAGCCACAGGGUUCAACUGCACCUCAGAGACUCCUGCCUUAUGUACGGUACAGAGUCAUGGAACCACUUUAAUAACGGUUACAUACUGUUUUACCUACUUCAUGUCUAUAUACUGUAUUCUAGUCAUGGUUCAUUCUAUAUAACUACUGCUGUACACACUUUCUAAUUCAUAUACUGUCUAUACACACCAUCCUAUUAUAACUACUGUCUAUACACACCAUCCUAUAUAUAACUACUGUCUAUACACACCAUCCUAUAUAUAACUACUGUCUAUACACACCAUCCUAUAUAUAACUACUGUCUAUACUGUCUAUACACACCAUCCUAUAUAACUACUGUCUAUACUGUCUAUACACACCAUCCUAUAUAACUACUGUCUAUGCACACCAUCCUAUAUAACUACUGUCUAUACACACCAUCCUAUAUAACUACUGUCUAUACACACCAUCCUAU
ensembl:lncRNA